rnacentral:rRNA from 1 species
CACGGGGGGAGCAAGCGUUGUUCGGAAUCACUGGGCGUAAAGGGCGUGUAGGCGGUUAGGUAAGUGGGAUGUGAAAUCCCUCGGCUCACCCGAGGACCUGCAUCCCAAACUGCCUGGCUUGAGUACGGGAGAGGAUGGAGGAAUUCCUGGUGUAGCGGUGAAAUGCGUAGAUAUCAGGAGGAACACCGGUGGCGAAGGCGUCCAUCUGGCCCGAUACUGACGCUGAGGCGCGAAAGCUAGGGGAGCAAACGGGAUUAGAUACCCCGGUAGUCCUAGCCGUAAACGGUGAGCACUAGGUGUUGGAGGCAUCGACCCCUCCAGUGCCGCAGCUAACGCAAUAAGUGCUCCGCCUGGGGAGUACGGCCGCAAGGUUGAA